AUGCCAUGAUGAGGACACCUUUUGAGCAACUUUUUAAAUCUCUCUCAAGCCUCAUACAAACUCUCAUCUUCAAGUUCGUAAAAGGAAGUGAUCCCAUUUUGCAAUUU
rfam:Citrus sinensis cultivar Ridge Pineapple sweet orange scaffold00452_contig_2, whole genome shotgun sequence.